GACGAACCGUGCGAACGUUAUUCGGAUUCACUGGGCUUAAAGGGCGCGUAGGCGGCGAUUCAAGUCUGGGGUGAAAGCCUUCGGCUCAACCGGAGAAGUGCCUUGGAUACUGGAUCGCUCGAGGGGGAUAGGGGCAUGCGGAACUUCCGGUGGAGCGGUGAAAUGCGUAGAUAUCGGAAGGAACGCCGGUGGCGAAAGCGAUCGACUGGACCUCUUCUGACGCUGAGGCGCGAAAGCCAGGGGAGCAAACGGG
rnacentral:rRNA from 1 species